GUGCUGGCUUGGGAAGCACAUAUACUAAAAUUGGAAUGCCACAGAGGAGGUUAGCAUUCCUACACAAGGAUGAUACAUAAUUCCUUUAAAAAAAAAAUCUAACA
rnacentral:snRNA from 1 species